UCCGGGUUGGACCCGGCGGUCCCGCCAGACAUGGUAACUGGCAGCGAGGGUUGCGCUCGUUGCGGGACUUAACCCAACACCUCACGGCACGAGCUGACGACAGCCGUGCAGCACCUGUGCUCGCUCCCUCGCGGGUCAGCCGACUUUCGCCGACUUACCACGAGCAUGUCAAGCCCGGGUAAGGUUCUGCGCGUUGCAUCGAAUUAAACCACACGUUCCGCUGCUUGUGCGGGCCCCCGUCAAUUCCUUUGAGUUUUAGCCUUGCGGCCGUACUCCCCAGGCGGGGCACUUAGUGCGUUAGCGGCGGCACGGAGGCCAUGACAGCCCCCACACCUAGUUCGCACCGUUUACGGCUAGGACUAC
rnacentral:misc_RNA from 1 species